UACAGCGGUCCCACCCUGAAUGUGCACGAUCUUGUCUGAUCUUGGAAGAUGAGCAGGGCAGGGCCUGGCUAGCCCCUGGGUGGGAGGAAAGGGGACAAUGUGUGGACACUUCUGAAA
rnacentral:rRNA from 1 species